rnacentral:lncRNA from 1 species
AUGAGACGGCUCAAACAAUAAUUUUGCCUUUUAUAGUUAAACUAGAUUAGUUUAACAUGUGAAAUGUCUGUAAAGUAUCAUCAUAUGAUUGGCUUUAGGGCACAUUUCUAACAGUCAAUGCCCAAUUAGCAAUAGCUAAGAACAUUUUAGGAAUGAACAUUAGAGAAAUGUCUCAUUAAUGUAACUUACUUAGAUCACUUCUCUCUUAGAUUAAAUACAUUCCUUGGAUUCCCCUAUUGCUUAAACACAUAAUACAAUAAAUAUUGAUUAACAAUAAGUUUAACACAAUACGUAUUCCAAAAGCUAUUAUAUCAAAUGAGUGGCUUUGUGGGCAUACUUCCAACAUUGUGAUCAUACUUGAAAUGUGUGCCUUGUGAAGAACAUCAUACAACAACAACAAUGCUACUAUUCCAAACUCAUAAGCAAAGGUUUUUCCAAAUGUGCGACAUAGGUUUUUUUUUUUUUUUUUUCAAAUGUUAAUAAUUAAAAGCUAGAAAGAGCCUACAAAUAGAAGGAAAUUUUAAGGAAAACUAAUGAAAAUGGCUUGAAAAGUUUUAGUUUUAAUAAAUAAAAAACCAUGUUAUAAGUUUUGUUUAAUAAUUAGUACAAAGCCAUAUUAAAGUAGUUCAACUAAAAAUGGCCCAACUAUAAUAAAUUACGAUUUGUCAAUUUUACCUCUAACUUUUUAGGUUGAGUUCCAGAUUUUCGUCGUUAAUGGAGUUCAUCGUUGUUUUGCAGACAUUCUUCUUUUUCUUUGAAACAAAAAGGCUAAAUAGCCAAAAUGGACCCUGAGAUUUGCAUAACUCAUCACUUUGGUCCCUAACAUUUCAAAUCAAUAAAAGUGAUCCCUGAGAUUGUCCACCAUCCAUCAUUUUGGUUUUUACGUUAAAACCUCCGUUAAAUGUCCCGGAGCUCUUGGCCGGAAGUUUAGGCAAUUUUCAAAGCUUCGUAACUCAAUCAUUUCUUAACCAAAUUCGACCCAUAAUAUACCAAAAUGAAGAUAGGAAAGUGUAGAAUAAGAUUAUACCUAUUUGGAAGCCCAAUAGUUGUCGGAGAUGGCUGGAAAAUAGCCUCAAAGUUGACUGGUCAAAGGAAAAAUUGGAAAACUAGAAAACUCACUGUAAACUGGGUAAACUUUAAACGUUCAUAACUUCUUCAAUACUCAACGAAAUCAAGUGAUUCAAAAACUAAAAUCAUACUUCUCGAAGACAGCAACUUUCGAGCCAUUUUCCAGCCAAACCACGACAAGUUAGCCGUCGACAAAGGUACCAUUCUCUUCAUUUGGUCGAGAAAUAUGAUUUUAGUUUUCGUAUCAUUUGAUUUUGUUGAGUAUUGAAUAAAUUAUGAACGUUUAAAGUUUACCCAAUUUUCGGCGAGUUUUCCUAUUUUCCCUCGGACCAAUCAACUUUGAGGUUAUUUUCCGGCCAUCUCUGGCAACCAUUGGGCUUCCAAAUAGGUAUAAUCUUAUUCUACACUUUCUUAUCUUCAUUUUGAUAUAUUAUAGGUUGAAUUUGGUUAAGAAACGAUUGAGUUACGAAACUUUGAAAAUUGCCCAAACUUCUGGUCAAGAGCUCUGGGACACUUAACAGAGUUUUUAACAGAAGGACCAAAAUGAUGGAUGGUGGACAAUCUCAGGGACCACUUUUAUGGAUUUGAAAUGUUAGGGACCAAAGUUAUGAGUUAUGCAAAUCUCAAUGACCAUUUUGGCUAUUUAGCCAAACAAAAAUAUAUAUUCUCAUGCUAUUUAAUUUAUAUUUUGUAUUAUUUCAUUGAAAUGUGAUAGUCGUUAUUAUUCACAGUGUAUUCGAGGUACUAUUUUUCAAUUUUUCUUCGUUAGUGGAGUUCAUCGUUUGUUUCUCCAGAAAAUAAAUUUGAGAUCUGCAUGCUAUUCAAUAAUAAUGAUGGAUCACUGUUUCUGAACUGUAAAAAUUUAUCGUUUCUGGAUUUUAAGUAACAUUGUUUCUGGUAUCUAAAUUACUGUUUCUGGAAUCUAAGUCACUGUUUCUGGAUCAAAAUGAAACAGAUACACUGUUUCUUAAAUGUAAGUUAGAAAAGAAAUAGUGAAAUUCCUUAUAUUUGGAUUCAAAGCAAAAUAAACAUCAUUUUUCUUAAAUAUAAUCAACAGAUGCAUGAAAGAAAAGAAAUAGUCAAAGGUUAAAACAUAAAAAGUACAAAAAACUACCUCAACUAUUGGUAUCAUGACACUUUCAUACCUCAUCUUACUAAUUUGUGUCAAUGUCAGACCUCCGUCAGUUUUUCUGUUAAUUUUUCUAUUAAAUGCUGACGUGGCUUAAGAUGGGCUCCACUCCUUAGUCCAACUGGAUUAAAAAUAAUUAAAUA